rnacentral:rRNA from 1 species
CACGUAGGGUGCAAGCGUUGUCCGGAAUCAUUGGGCGUAAAGGGCUCGUAGGCGGCUUAGUAAGUCGGGUGUGAAAACUCUAGGCUCAACCUAGAGACGCCACCCGAUACUGCUAUAGCUAGAAUCCAGUAGGGGAGUGUGGAAUUCCCAGUGUAGCGGUGAAAUGCGCAGAUAUUGGGAGGAACACCAGCGGCGAAGGCGGCACUCUGGGCUGGUAUUGACGCUGAGGAGCGAAAGCGUGGGUAGCGAACAGG